GGGUUUUGCUAGGGCGUUGCCCGUCACUUGGAAAACCUUUGAGCCAGGGGACAUCUGCUUAUCUCUGCCUGAUUUUGUUGCAAUUUAUUCUAGUUCUGGAUUCUAGUCAAAAUAUGUAGUCGAUCAUUGGUUGUGACCAAAUAUUGUACAUAUUCUUAAGUAUUAUUUUCUCUUCUAUUGUGCUUUAAUAAAUUUCAUGUAAAACUAGGGAAGAGAGAGAUAUGAAAAUGGCUCGAUUUUAUACUUGAACAAUUUCCGCUUAGAGUGGUUUACGAGUUGACGACCCACCGCCUUCACAAUCGACCAGGAACCCUCGCAUCACUAUAAGGACGGCCGCAGUGGAUUCUACCAACGGGCUCUGUACUAUGAACUCGCAGGGCGUGUCAGGGACAGCAAUAAACCUACAAAUAUGUUGUUCUUUCAUGAAUGAGUCUCCUUCCCACACCAGAUAGAGCGAAGCAAACCUGUCGAUCACAUUUCUGGAUGAUUCAGUCAGGGGUCCAGACCUGGCUAGACGGAUGAGGCGAGCGAGGAAUAUCUGCUGGGUAGAAGAAUAUGAAUGCAUGAGCACAGAUAUAAAAAAUAGAAGAUCUUAUUUGUAGAAAGAGUAUGAUUAGGUUAGUUUAUGAAUAUUUCAUAUAAAUAAAUGAAUUAAUA